rnacentral:rRNA from 1 species
UACUCCUACGGGAGGCAGCAGUGGGGAAUAUUGGACAAUGGGCGCAAGCCUGAUCCAGCCAUACCGCGUGGGUGAAGAAGGCCUUCGGGUUGUAAAGCCCUUUUGUUGGGAAAGAAAUCCAGCUGGCUAAUACCCGGUUGGGAUGACGGUACCCAAAGAAUAAGCACCGGCUAACUUCGUGCCAGCAGCCGCGGUAAUACGAAGGGUGCAAGCGUUACUCGGAAUUACUGGGCGUAAAGCGUGCGUAGGUGGUCGUUUAAGCCCGUUGUGAAAGCCCUGGGCUCAACCUGGGAACUGCAGUGGAUACUGGACGACUAGAGUGUGGUAGAGGGUAGCGGAAUUCCUGGUGUAGCAGUGAAAUGCGUAGAGAUCAGGAGGAACAUCCAUGGCGAAGGCAGCUACCUGGACCAACACUGACACUGAGGCACGAAAGCGUGGGGAGCAAACAGGAUUAGAUACCCUGGUAGUCCACGCCCUAAACGAUGCGAACUGGAUGUUGGGUGCAAUUUGGCACGCAGUAUCGAAGCUAACGCGUUAAGUUCGCCGCCUGGGGAGUACGGUCGCAAGACUGAAACUCAAAGGAAUUGACGGA